CCGUCCGUCAAUCCGUUCACCAGAUGGUUUCCGGAUGAUAACUCAAGAACGCUUAGGCCUAGGAUCAUGAAACUUUAUAGGUACAUUGAUCAUGACUAGCAGAUGACCCCUAUUGAUUUUCAGGUCACUAGGUCAAAGGUCAAGGUCACAGUGACUCGAAAUAGUAAAAUGGUUUCCGGAUGAUAACUCAAGAAUGCUUAGGCCUAGGAUCAUGAAACUUCAUAGGUACAUUGAUCAUGACUGGCAGAUGACCCCUAUUGAUUUUCAGGUCACUAGGUAAAAGGUCAAGGUCACAGUGACCCGAAAUAGUAAAACGGUUUCUGGAUGAUAACACAAGAAUGCUUACGCCUAGGAUCAUGAAACUUCAUAGGAACAUUGAUCAUGACUGGCAGAUGACCCCUGUUGAUUUUCAGGUCACUAGGUCAAAGGUCAAGGUCACAGUGACUCGAAACAGUAAAAUGGUUUUCGGAUGAUAACUCAAGAAUGCUUACGCCUAGAAUCAUGAAACUUCAUAGGUACAUUGAUCAUGACUGGCAGAUGAUCCCUAUUGAUUUUCAGGUCACUAGGUCAAAGGUCAAGGUCACAGUGACUCGAAACAGUAAAAUGGUUUCCUGAUGAUAACUCAAGAAUAAUUAGGCCUUGGAUCAUGAAACUUCAUGGGUACAUUGAUCAUGACUGGCAGAUGACCCCUAUUGAUUUUCAGCUCACUAGGUCAAAGGUCAAGGUCACAGUGAAAAAAAACGUAUUCACACAAUGGCUGCCACUACAACUGACAGCCCAUAUGGGGGGCAUGCAUGCUUUACAAACAGCCCUUGUUUAAUGUUUGACUUUUUUUAUUAAGGAUUAUUAACCAGGUUUUCCGAAGGAAAAAACUGGUUAUUAGAUUGGCGAAUGCGGGCGGGCUGGCUGGCUGGCUGGCUGGCUGGCCGGCUGGCUGGCGGGCGGACGGAACAAGCUUGUCCGGGCCAUAACUUUGUCGUUCAUUGUCAGAUUUUAAAAUCAUUUGGCACAUUUGUUCACCAUCAUUGGACGGUGUGUCGCGCAAAAUAAUGACGUCGAUAUCUCCAAGGUCAAGGUCACACUUUGAGUUCAAAGGUCAAAAAUGGCCAUAAAUGAGCUUGUCCUGGCCAUAACUAUGUCAUUCAUUGUGAGAUUUUAAAAUCAUUUGGCACAUUUGUUCACCAUCAUGGUACAGUGUGUCGCACGAAAGAAUCACGUCAAUAUCUCCAAUGUCAAGGUCGCCACGACUAAAAAUAGAUUAUUUUUUUUUAAACAAACUUACAAAGGGGGUUAAUUUUGUUUGUUCAUUUCAAAAGUUCAGUUUGAGUUUUCUCCCUUUAUCAGAUUUUUUUUCACAAUGAAAACCUGGUUUUGUGACAAUUUUGUCCCUUGUUUGAUAUAAAUUGCCAGAGGUAAUUCCUGAUAAACUUGUUCUGAGGCAGGCAUCUUGGCUUAUAAGAUAUUUAAUAAUAUCAGUAGUGAAAUACUUAUAUAUUUGAUACCAAUAUCAUGUUUAUUUUGCCCCCCUUCGUCGGUCUGUCCACCAGAUGGUUUCUGGAUGAUAACUCAAAAACGCUUAGGCCUAGGAUCAUGAAACUUCAUAGGUACAUUGAUCAUGACUGUCAGAUGACCCCUAUUGAUUAUCAGGUCACUAGGUCAAAGGUCAAGGUCACAGUGACUCGAAAUAGUAAAAUGGUUUCCGGUUGAUAACUCAAGAAUGCUUAGGCCUUGGAUCAUGAAACUUCAUAGGUACAUUGAUCAUGACUGGCAGAUGACCCCUAUUGAUUUUCAGGUCACUAGAUCAAAGGUCAAGGUCACAGUGACCCGAAAUAGUAAAAUGGUUUCUUGAUGAUAACUCAAGAAUGCUUACGCCUAGGAUCAUGAAAUUUCAUAGGAACAUUGAUCAUGACUGGCAGAUGACCCCUGUUGAUUUUCAGGUCACUAGGUCAAAGGUCAAGGUCACAGUGACUCGAAACAGUAAAAUGGUUUCCGGAUGAUAACUCAAGAAUGCUUACGCCUAGAAUCAUGAAACUUCAUAGGUACAUUGAUCAUGACUGGCAGAUGACCCCUAUUGAUUUUCAGGUCACUAGGUCAAAGGUCAAGGUCAAAGUGACUCGAAACAGUAAAAUGGUUUCCAGAUGAUAACUCAAGAAUGCUUACGCCUAGGAGCAUGAAACUUCAUAGGAACAUUGAUCAUGACUGGCAGAUGACCCCUAUUAAUUUUCAGGUCACUAGGUCAAAGGUCAAGGUGACUCGAAACAGUAAAAUGGUUUCCUGAUGAUAACUCAAGAAUGCUUACACCUAGGAUCAUGAAACUUCAUAUGUUCAUUGAUCAUGACUGGCAGAUAACCCCUAUAAGUUUUCAGGUCACUAGGUCAAAGGUCAAGGUCACAGUGACUCGAAACAGUAAAACUGUUUCCUGAUGAUAACUCAAGAAAAAUUAGGCCUAGGAUCAUGAAACUUCAUAGGUACAUUGAUCAUGACUGGCAGAUGACCCCUAUUGAUUUUCAGGUCACUAGUUCAGUUUUUGCUCCUGUAGUUUCAACUUUUCCAACAAUUGCCUCAUUUGCUGCUUAGCUGAGCACAAUGUCAAGCUUUUAUGUUUACUGAUUUUCAAUUGUGAGACAUUUACAUUGUACCUUUUCAAGACUCAUUUUAUAAUUUAUCUUCAUGAAACUUGGUAAGAACAUUUCCCCCAAAGGUAUCUGCAUUAAAAACUGGGUUAUUUGGGUCAAAACCUUGAUCACAAGGUCAACUUUAAAAAAACUUGUGAACACUUUGAAAGUUUCAUUUUUUGCUGUGCUAUCAUGAAACUUGCUCAAAUCAUUUAUGCCCAUGACAUUUCAUCCAAGGUUGGAAAACAUACAUGUAUGGCAGAUUUCUAAACUGGGUCUUGUGACAUCAAAAACUAGGUCACAAUGUCAAAUUAUUCCACAUUUGUUCCCCAAUCUGUAUACAAAAUUGCUCAGAAUAGUUUCCCUAUGAUGUGCCAACCGUGUUUGAAAUUGAGUCAAGUUAGAUCAUAUACGGACAAGGGUAUGUGAAAUUAAUGGGGAAAAAAUGAAGUGAUAAAAUUCCACAUUUUUAAUUUGUUGCAUAUCUUUAUAAACUGGUCAGUACCUAUUUCCUCAUGAUAUAUAAACCAAGUGUGUAACUUGGUCUUGUUUAACAAUGAAGCUUCUGAACACUCUUGAGGCCACAUUUGUUGCCCAAUAUACAUGAAAUAUUGGUUUAAUGAUUCCUCUACUGAGUAAGAAACCAUUUCAGUCCAUUGAAAAACAUAGCCUCCAUGAAGCAGAGCAGUUUUCCUUAUGUGGUUAAAUUAAAACCAUUUGAACACUAUAGCAAUCGCUUAUGUUCUCAUUUGUGAGCUGUGUACGAAAAUUCUUGUUGGGUGUAAUAUACCUGCCAAGUGUUUUGACAUUUUAAUUGUGUAACAUAAUGAACACUACCUUCUCAGAACAGAUUAGUUCCUUUAGGUCCCAGGUGAUUGCCUUAGGGCCUGUGGCUCCCUUUUUAUGCCCUCAGAUCGAAUGAUCGGGUUUAUAUUGUUUUUAGCCUGUCUGUCUGUCAUUCAUUAAUUAAUUGUGUGUGUCCCAAAACUUAAUCCUUGGUCAUAACUUUUGAAAUAUUGAAGAUAGCAACUUGAUAUUUGGUAUGCAUGUGUGUCUCAUGGAGCUGCACAUUUUGAGUGGUGAAAGGUCAAGGUCAUUCUUCAAGAUCAAAGGUCAAAUAUAUGGCUUCAAAGCGGCGCAAUAGGGGGCAUUUUGUAUCAGAAACACAGCUCUUGUUUAAUGUUGGUUUACUAUCCUUAACCUUCAUGACAGAUAUGAGGUAACAUCCAACAAAUUUACAAGAGACGUCUUAAAGGAGCU